rnacentral:rRNA from 1 species
AAGCUCGUAGUUGAAUUUCGGGCCUGGCUGGACGGUCCGCCCUUCGGGUGAGUACUGUCUGUGGUCGGGUCCUACCUUCUGGCGAAGCGUCAUGGCCUUAACCGGCCGUGGCGGGGAACCAGGACUUUUACUGUGAAAAAAUUAGAGUGUUCAAAGCAGGCAAUCGCUUGGAUACAUUAGCAUGGAAUAAUGGAAUAGGACAAUGGUUCUAUUUGUUGGUUUCUAGGACCGUUGUAAUGAUUAAUAGGGAUAGUUGGGGGCAUUAGUAUUCAAUUGUCAGAGGUGAAAUUCUUGGAUUUAUUGAAAACUAACUACUGCGAAAGCAUUUGCCAAGGAUGUUUUCAUUAAUCAAAAACGAAGGUUAGGUGAUCGAAGACGAUCAGAUACCGUCGUAGUCUUAACCAUAAACUAUGCCGACUAGGAAUCGGGCGAUGUUGAAAAAAUGACGCGCUCGGCACCUCAAGGGAAACCAAAGUGUUUGGGUUCCGGGGGGAGUAUGGUCGCAAGGCUGAAACUUAAAGGAAUUGACGGAAGGGCACCACCAGGGGUGGAGCCUGCGGCUUAAUUUGACUCAACACGGGAAAA